rnacentral:rRNA from 1 species
UAUGCUUAACACAUGCAAGUCGAACGGUAACGGUCCUUCGGGAGCCGACGAGUGGCGGACGGGUGAGUAACGCGUAGGAAUCUGCCUGGUAGUGGGGGACAACGUGGGGAAACUCACGCUAAUACCGCAUACGCCCUGAGGGGGAAAGCGGGGGAUCUUCGGACCUCGCGCUAUCAGAUGAGCCUGCGUUGGAUUAGCUAGUUGGUAGGGUAAAGGCCUACCAAGGCGACGAUCCAUAGCUGGUCUGAGAGGACGAUCAGCCACACUGGGACUGAGACACGGCCCAGACUCCUACGGGAGGCAGCAGUGGGGAAUAUUGGACAAUGGGCGCAAGCCUGAUCCAGCAAUACCGCGUGUGUGAAGAAGGCCUGAGGGUUGUAAAGCACUUUCAAUAGGGAGGAAAAAGCGUUGGCGAAUACCCGAUGCCUUGACAUUACCUAUAGAAGAAGCACCGGCUAACUCCGUGCCAGCAGCCGCGGUAAUACGGAGGGUGCGAGCGUUAAUCGGAAUUACUGGGCGUAAAGCGUGCGUAGGCGGCUGUUUAAGUCAGAUGUGAAAGCCCCGGGCUUAACCUGGGAACGGCAUUUGAUACUGGGCAGCUAGAGUUUAGGAGAGGAGAGUGGAAUUUCCGGUGUAGCGGUGAAAUGCGU